CUUGUGCCCCGACCCUCUGGGGCCUUUGUCAGUGGCCACAGCAGCCCAACACUCUCACCCCUCACCUGGCCUGACUGGAGAAGGCCCUGGGCCUGCCGGUUACCAUCCCACAUUGCCCCCACAGGGCUCUCAGUGUAGCAAGGGCAGGGAGAAGGCCCAGGCUGGAAGGUCCACUCCUCAUUCUCCCUGCCCCACCCUGCCAUGCCCAUCCUGAUGGUCACCAUGGCCUGUACCAGGCCUCCGGCGGAGAAGCUGGGCACCACGUACUUCACGUCAAAGUCGCGAGAGGCCGCGUAGGGGGUGCGCGGGCACUGCCAGUCCUCGCCCGCCGCGGGCUUGGCAGGCAACAGCAGCAGCAACAGGAAGGACUGAGGCAGCGGCGGGAGGAGCUCCAUCGAGGCGAGCUGGGACCCUAGAGGAUCCCUACCGGCCUGGGCCUGGACCUGGGCGUGGGCCUGGCUGGGGGCCCGACUCGAGGUCUGGACUGGGCCAAAUUUAAGCAGCGGUCCCGACAGCCCCAAGAUAGCGGACCCCCGCCCCAGGU
rnacentral:lncRNA from 1 species